rnacentral:rRNA from 1 species
UACAGAGGGGGCAAGCGUUAUUCGGAAUUAUUGGGCGUAAAGGGCGCGUAGGCGGCUUGGCAAGUGGAAGGUGAAAUCCCUCGGCUUAACCGAGGAACUGCCCUCCAAACUGCUUAGCUUGAGACCGGGAGAGGUGAGUGGAAUUCCCAGUGUAGCGGUGAAAUGCGUAGAUAUUGGGAGGAACACCAGUGGCGAAGGCGGCUCACUGGACCGGUACUGACGCUGAUGCGCGAAAGCGUGGGGGAGCAACGGGG